UAGCUCAGUCAGUUGAGCGUGGCGCUAACAACGCUAAGCUCGCGGGUUCGAUUCCUGU
rnacentral:tRNA from 1 species